UACGUAGGGACCGAGCGUUGUCCGGAAUCAUUGGGCGUAAAGAGCGUGUAGGCGGCCUGUUAAGUCUUGCGUGAAAUCUCGGGGCUCAACCCCGAGCGGUCGUGAGAAACUGGCAGGCUAGAGUCCGGAAGAGGAGAGUGGAAUUCCUGGUGUAGCGGUGAAAUGCGCAGAUAUCAGGAAGAACACCAAUGGCGAAAGCAGCUCUCUGGGACGGUACUGACGCUGAGACGCGAAAGCGUGGGGAGCGAACAGG
rnacentral:rRNA from 1 species